UACGAAGGGUGCAAACGUUGCUCGGAAUUAUUGGGCGUAAAGCGCACGUAGGCGGCUUGGCAAGUCGGAAGUGAAAUCCCUCGGCUCAACCAAGGAAGUGCAUCCGAAACUGCUGAGCUUGAGUACGAAAGAGGAUCGCGGAAUUCCCGGUGUAGAGGUGAAAUUCGUAGAUAUCGGGAGGAACACCAGUGGCGAAGGCGGCGAUCUGGGUCGAUACUGACGCUGAGGUGCGAAAGCGUGGGGAGCAAACAGG
rnacentral:rRNA from 1 species